rnacentral:lncRNA from 1 species
CUUUAUGUAUAUUAUCUAAUUUGCCAUUUUAUAACAUAAUAUAAGAGUGGUCAUUAAAAGAAUAGCAAUAAGUAAAAACUAUAGAAUACGUAUUUUUUUACAUACAAACAUGAAUAAUAAAUAUUAAUUUGUAAAUUGGCCCAUCUGUCUCAGUUUUCUCAGAUUAGCACUUGGGUUCUUCAGUUUAACCCUUUUAUUAAGGUAAUUUACUCUAAUUCUUGUUCUUGUGUUUCUAAUAGGAUAUGAUGACUUUUUUAGGCCAGUUGGGAUAUAAUUUAAUUAGAUGAUUAUGUAUCCUUUAAUUACACGAAACUCACACGAGGCGAUCGUAAGGCAUUCCUUAGAGACCAAUUCAAUCCAAAGGCUGGACGUUUCUUUAUAAAAUACUAAGUCACAUGUCUUUUUUCCCAGAUUAAGAUAAGGGUCUUUAAAUUUUAAAUCUUGCAAUAAACCAGAUCAUAAUCUCAACAAUUAUUGGAAAAUUGUCAUGAUUCUUUUGCAUCUGCUGCAAUUACUUUUUUGGCUUCAAGAGUUUCAAAAAGUGCACAAUCUUCUAAAGUUUCCUAUGAUUAAAUUGCAUCUUUAUCAUGCUCAUUUUCUUUCACAUUUGACGAAAAGAAGCGACUCGAUAUUGAUGUAGUAACUAACUUUAGUAAGCUCAGCCUGGAGAUUCCGUUCAUAAUCAAUGAAUGUAAAAUGCAUAUCACAAAUAUUAGCAUUAUUUAUAUUAAUUGGAUCUUAUCUCCUGCAGACUGAGAUCCAGAGACGCUGGAGCAUCAAUUAUUUCUUGGGAAAUGCAAUAUACUGGGCAUCCCGUAGAUUGGGACAUUAUGGCAUGGCACAAAUACGCUUUGAACCUGGAGAUGAUUCCAUUUUUGCUUAACAGAUCCAAAUUAGUGCACUGCUGUAACUGUGACGUCACUACGUCAGCUGAGUCAGGUAACGCCAACCAGACUGCCUUUGAAGAUACUUGUUCACUCCACUUUCUAUAUAGUCACCUUGGGUAAUAGUUUUCUUAAAUUAAAGACAUUUAUAGUAGUAGGCUAUCAGAGAACAGUGACACUGAUAUUCUAGGCUUGCGACUUAGGGGACCACUUUCUUUUUAAAAAUGUUGGGGUAUUUAUCUAAAAAGACAUAUUUUAUAUUUCAUUUAUUAAUUGCCCUUUACAUGACUUUACCAAGAUAAUUGGAACAGAACGCUGAACAGAAAUAAAGACUGCACACAGAACGCUUACAAACCUGGUCUAAUCUGUUAGUUUGAUGACCACCCCGCUAGUAAAUUCAAAUAAUUAUUCCUAAAAUCUUAUUUAGCUGUCUCUGUCAAUCAAAUAUCCUACAUUUAUUUUCAACAUCAUCAUUGGCUUUAGUUUCCUUUAAAAGACAUCAUAUAGUGUUGGAUCGGUCCUAAGACUGAUUUCAUAAUCAGUCUUAACCUCUUUUAAGUUUUUUGGUUUUUUUAAAUUUCACAUCUUUAUUCCACAUAUUAAAUCGUAUCAACAAGUAUAUAGUUAUAUUUUGUCCUAUCAAAUUAAUAUUACAAGGUAACAAAAACAAAAAGACUAUACAAGUGCCAGAUCUUUUCUCUUUUCCCUUAAAGUGCCGGUUUCAUAUGUAAAUACUAUAGAUAAAUAGAAAUAUCAUGAACAUUUUAAUGUAGCAUGUAAAAAAGGGAAACAUAAACAAAAUAUCUCAGUAAUAAUAUUAAAAAAAUCAAAACACCAACAGAAGUACUGGUGCACCAUCAGAGACAUUUAUUUCAUUAAUAGGUUUGAUAUGGCUAGGUCAUGGUGUAGGGGAGAUCAUACCACAUCUAUUCGAAAUCGGAUAAUCGGAGGCAUUUUCUUGGAGAUCCCUAAACGCCGUAGUUACAAUCCUGUGUUUAUAUUCAUUAUCUUACCUCAUGUUUAUAUCUCGAAUUUAUAUACGACUUCAGUAGUGCUAUAGCCUGAAUCAAUUAUAUUGUUGCUUUAA